rnacentral:rRNA from 1 species
AUGACGUUAGGAAAGCGAGCGGCGGAUGGGUGAGUAACACGUGGGGAACCUGCCCCAUAGUCUGGGAUACCACUUGGAAACAGGUGCUAAUACCGGAUAAGAAAGCAGAUCGCAUGAUCAGCUUUUAAAAGGCGGCGUAAGCUGUCGCUAUGGGAUGGCCCCGCGGUGCAUUAGCUAGUUGGUAAGGUAAAGGCUUACCAAGGCGAUGAUGCAUAGCCGAGUUGAGAGACUGAUUGGCCACAUUGGGACUGAGACACGGCCCAAACUCCUACGGGAGGCAGCAGUAGGGAAUCUUCCACAAUGGACGCAAGUCUGAUGGAGCAACGCCGCGUGAGUGAAGAAGGUUUUCGGAUCGUAAAGCUCUGUUGUUGGUGAAGAAGGAUAGAGGUAGUAACUGGCCUUUAUUUGACGGUAAUCAACCAGAAAGUCACGGCUAACUACGUGCCAGCAGCCGCGGUAAUACGUAGGUGGCAAGCGUUGUCCGGAUUUAUUGGGCGUAAAGCGAGCGCAGGCGGAAGAAUAAGUCUGAUGUGAAAGCCCUCGGCUUAACCGAGGAACUGCAUCGGAAACUGUUUUUCUUGAGUGCAGAAGAGGAGAGUGGAACUCCAUGUGUAGCGGUGGAAUGCGUAGAUAUAUGGAAGAACACCAGUGGCGAAGGCGGCUCUCUGGUCUGCAACUGACGCUGAGGCUCGAAAGCAUGGGUAGCGAACAGGAUUAGAUACCCUGG